GACGGCUCGGCUCUGUCGCUUUCUGCUGGGCUGCGCGUUGGCAUUGAAACGGCGGCAGGCGAACUGUCAACAUCGCUCCAUUCCCAGAAAAUUCCCAAUCGGAAGCAGAAGAAUUCUAAACACUUUUUGCUGUGUACUGCAUAUAAUAGCCACCUCAAAAAAGAGCCAGCAAACAAUGCCUCCAUUAUUCGCAACAAAUUAGACACGCAAAUGACAUCAACAGCGAAUUUGAAUCAGUCAAAAAACCAAACCAUUCAAAACGGAAAAGCAAAUAAAAUGCAAAAUAAUUGGAAAUUAAUUGUGCUCAAUUCUACGUGAAGUGCCUGCCAUAUCAACAAAAAAGAAUCAAAGAUAAACACACGAGACGGUAAUUACGCCGAACAUAAUUGAAAUCAUUUUAAGUGCAUUAUAUGGUGUGAUCAAAAAAACUCGAAAAAUAAAAACCGAAACCGAAAUGGAUCAGAGAAUGCAAGCGAAUUUCAAUAUUUGAUAUAUGUGACCAGUGAGUUUCUACAUAAAGAUACAACAAUUAAAAACCAAUUGGAAGAAGUCAGUGAAACUAUAAAAUGAAAUGAAUCAAAUAUCCAAGGGGAUCAUAAAAGGGUGGCGAGCUGCGUCAGCAUGGAAAUUUAAUUAGCGACAGUUCAGUUCAGCUGAGCGGCCAUAAGUCGAAUGGAUUGGAUGGCCCACUGUACCGCCCAAUGACCCACCCCCUGCAGCCACCCACAACCACCCAGUGGGCCACGCGAUGGGGCCAGGGGGAGGAGGAGGUUUCGUUGAUUUUUGCAUGACGACAGCAAAAAGCGAAAAGGCGAAACAACAAUCGAAAUGCAACUGCACGAAUGUGUGGGUGUGCGAGCGAAGCAGCCUAUCUGAACCAGACAUGCGCUCUCUCUCUCACCGACUUGAACUUGAAAAUUUUUUAGUGCCGGCAAAACGAGAGAGAGCGGAAGAGAGCGGCAAAGAGAGAGCGCUGAGCAGCGCCAUGAAUCUGACCACUCUUGCCACGCCCCCACCGCUGCCGCCCCCAAGAGCUUUCGACGACACGCAGCGUAGCAUAAAAAGCAGCAUACCGGGGCCAUCCCCCCAUCCCCACAUUGGCCAGAAGGUGGCGCUCGAUGCGCCAAAAAAGCUCCCCCAAAACUGAAGUUGCUCGCAAAACAUCCGCAAGAUGGUGAGGCUAAAGCGAAUUCGGCUUUUGCACAAGAUAUUCAAACGUAACCGUUUCCACACAAGUAUCUCAACCAAAAAGAUGCCGAAAGAAUUCAACAAAUUAG